rnacentral:snRNA from 15 species
AAACUUGGGAGCUGGGUGGCUCUCGCCAUAAAGAAGGCGGGACCCCAUGGUGAGGCCCGUGCACUGCACUUUCGCAUGGGCUGACCAUGGCGUGUGGCUGCUUCGAGUUGACAACAGCUAAAUUUUUGCGUGUGGGGCUGCGUUCGCACGGCCCUGG